ACCUAGGUACAUGCCCUUGACCGGAAUCGAACCUGGGACCUUUCAGUCUGCAGGCCGACGCUCUAUCCAUUGAGCCAAACCAGUCAGGGCAACACAAUCUCCUUUAAAACUGAUCUAAACAAAAUCACUCUGAACAUAAGGGUCAGAAGGCCUCUAUUUAAGCAAAUACUUAGCAAAAAGUGGGGCAAAGCCUCCUCAGCAGAACAAAUAUUCAUUAAUAUUCAUGUUUGGAAAUCACAAUUUCUAAUGGCAGCAGAAAACGCAUGUGAAAUUUUCUUGACUUGAUUUAGUUAAUUUGAAAGGACAUUGGAAAUUCUCCAUCCUCUUUUUUCCUUGCCUAGUUUACUUCUAGGGUAGACAUUUAAGGAUGGAAUGCUGAACACCUCCUGAGCUUUAUGGUUCUAAAAACAGAAUCAGAUCUAUAAUAUGGCAGGACAAGGUCAUGGGCAUCAAUCUUGGAUAGCUCCACAGCGAUUGAAACUCAGCCUGCGCCAGCUUAUCAGAAGCCUGUGGAUGACCAGUUCUUUAAUUUAAAAAACCACACACUCAUUUCAUGCUGCAAAAGGAGAGACGCCCACACAGCCGUUUGAAAGGGACCAUCAUGCAGCUCAGCCCCUGUUGGAUCCAUGCUCAGCAAGCCAACCUUCCCGUGCACAUUAGCACUAGGGCACCCAGCCAGCUGCUCGCUGCCCCGGGGCCCCGGCAGCAUGGGCAGACCAUGCGCAGCCUCCCACAGGGCCCGAGUUCGGAUUCAGGGCCAGAAGGAAGAAGCGCCAUGGGCCUCCGUGUCUGCAGGGGCCAGAAGAGUUGUGCAGGCAGAUUAGCAGGUCUGAGCCACGGCAGCAUUUUUAUUUCAGAUUUGAUAACUGCUUGUAUGUGUUAAAAACCAAAAUGACAUCUUGUUAAAGCUUGUCCAUAAAAACACAUGUCUUUUAUAGAGGAAAAACGUGGGGGGGAAAUCACCUGUUUUGAUGCAGCAUUUGAUAAUGAUAAAACGCCUCACUCUUUAAGUGCACAGAGUGAGUGAGGUCUGGGCUAGGCAGGGAAAGGCCAGUGCUGCCUUGUCCUCUUUUGGAACCAUCACCAGCUUUCUCCACCUGGCACCUGCAGGAGACACACUGUCACAGUGAACCCAGCUAACGUCUGCCUUGUCUCAUUUCAGAGUGAAGAUUUGCUUCCACUUUCCUGCAGGCAGCCUCUCUCCUCCCUCACAGUCCCGCUGUGCAGGUAACUGAUGAAGAUGCAAAAUCUACCUUGUCUAGUGGAGAUGCAAUUGACGGCCCCUGCUGUGGAAGAAUUGAUUUUGGGACCUGCCUGCACAUUGGCUGGAUCCUGCCGCCUGCCCAAAUGGCAUCCCUCCUUUAAGCUGACUGGCCUCCCGGACCCUGAAACAACUGACAUUUGCCACCACCUUCCAAAAGAUGAAGCAGCACUAACCAGCGUCCCUGAGACCGCUCUCAGGCUCUGCUUAGUUCCUCAGGGGGACCAUGCUAGCUUCUAGUUGUUCAACAACAAUUGAUAUUGUUGGGAACAACCACUUCGAAUUGUAUUCAAGCCCUGUGCCUCUAUGAGAAGUGACAGUGGGAGCGUCCCCUCCGUUUUGUGUUCUGGGAGAUGGCUAAUUGCACAAGACGCCCUGUGCUGGAAGCCUGGGCCCACCGCCACUGUGCCUCACCACCCCUCAUUCCCCUGCCUCCGUAGGGUACCAGGCCUCCUUCCACUUUGGGGCUGCUCCUCACGAAUGAGCCUUUCCCCAGUGCAGUCGGCUAAAUAAACGCAUCUUCUUCAUUGUCCACUGCACAAUUUUAGCUUAUUGUAUCUUAUGUAAUAGAACAUUUUCACAUACUAUUGUGGCAGUUAGGUCUCAUUAUCACUUAAGACAAAUAAUUCAGAACUUAAAAAGGAAUUGUUUGGCUCAGUGGAUAGAGCGUCAGCCUGCGGACUCAAGGGUCCCAGGUUCAAUUCCAGUCAAGGGCAUGUACGUUGGUUGCGGGCA